AUGCACUAGAAGCAAGAAGUUUUUGUGUUUGAGUUAAAUCUUCCUAUCAGCUUUUCAUGGAAAAUUUUCGUUUGACCGUAUAGAGUAUCACAUGAAAUGUUGGGCACACAUCUCAUGUCGUUUCUUUUCAGUUUUUCUUCAAAUCCUUGCAUAUUUCAGUUCACUCUUAUCGUUUUGUGUAUUAGUGGAGGCAUUGUAGUGUUUACUUCCUAUUCUUAUGCAAACUUUAUUUACUGUGAAUGCAAUAUUCCUUCUCAACUUUUUUUUUCUCGAAUGUUGUUCCUUCUCAACUUCUGAACUCCUUUUUCUUAUGUGUGGUACUGUAGGAGUACCCCUUUUCUCUGCGAGAACAGAAAUAUAUUUAAGAAAAUUAGAAAUUAACUUGUACAUUCUAAGCAGGAAGAUUAGUUAGUUAGUGACUUCAUUUGUGUGCAUAAGAUGCAAGGGUUUCUUUUCUUUAGAAAAGGAAUAAUAAAUAAAUCAUUCCAAGAGCAAUUUGUACCAGAUAAAUUUCUUCUUCGUUGCUGAAAAUUUUAGUAUACACUCAUGUUGGACGCCAUGCGAAGUCAAACUGUUGCAUAAUUUAUGUCAAUGAAGCAAGUAUAUUAAAUAUUGUGCAUGUGUAUUUGUCUCAUUUAGAACAAGUUCUUAUUAUUCUUGUACACUACUCUCCAGGCAGUUCGUUUAUCUUCCUCUCCGCAUUCUCCAUCUAUACCCCAGUUUAUAGUGCAAGAAAUCCAAGCUCUUACCCGAGUUGCUGUUGCUGGACUAGCUCUUGCCUGAGGAUCAGUGUUUCAGAAAGAAUUGGAUGAUUGAAAAUAUGCUGGAGUUGCUCUUGCUGGACAAGGGGUAUAUGUGGCAGUAACCCGCUUGCCGCUUCCCUCCUGAGCAGAAACGACCUGUGGACCCUGGUUAGUUCUCUGGCUUAUUGGCAGGUGGUAUAUGUGUGUGCAUGCCUUAUCUCUCUCUCGCCCAAUCCUGAUAUAAGACGUUCACGCCUUGUGCCCUAUAAGGAGUUAAGGACACAGUGCCGUCAAAUGCCAUGCAGGGAUACUAAAUUUGGCGAGGAGAACCAUGAUCACCUGGUUGGCUGGUUAUUCAGUUUUAUGCUGGGAAUGGGAUAUGCUCCUGAAGCACUUAGUUUGCCUCGAAUAUCUAAGGGAUGCACAUUUGUUUUGAGUUUCUAUUCUAUUGUUAGAUGUCAAUAUGUUAUGUGAUGUGCUUCUGCUGCAUUUGUUGAGGAUGACUCCCUAUGUGUUUUAGAAAGCCAGCUUCAACAAAGCCAUCACCAUCACCACGCCUAUGUGUUUUAGAAGUUUUCCAUACUGGGAGCAGUUUUUGUAUUCAGUGCAUUGUGUGACGGUGUGACCAUAGCUUUUGCAUGUCUGCGACUAAUAAUAAUAGAUGACACAAAUGUUUUGCUUGAUGCUAA